CCUACGGGGGGCUGCAGUGGGGAAUAUUGGACAAUGGGGGCAACCCUGAUCCAGCCAUGCCGCGUGUGUGAAGAAGGCCCUCGGGUUGUAAAGCACUUUCAGUGAGGAAGAACGCCUGGUGGUUAAUACCCAUCAGGAAAGACAUCACUCACAGAAGAAGCACCGGCUAACUCCGUGCCAGCAGCCGCGGUAAUACGGAGGGUGCGGGCGUUAAUCGGAAUUACUGGGCGUAAAGCGCGCGUAGGUGGCUUGAUAAGCCGGUUGUGAAAGCCCCGGGCUCAACCUGGGAACGGCAUCCGGAACUGUCAAGCUAGAGUGCAGGAGAGGAAGGUAGAAUUCCCGGUGUAGCGGUGAAAUGCGUAGAGAUCGGGAGGAAUACCAGUGGCGAAGGCGGCCUUCUGGACUGACACUGACACUGAGGUGCGAAAGCGUGGGUAGCAAACAGGAUUAGAUACCCUAGUAGUC
rnacentral:rRNA from 1 species